AAAAAAAAAGCAGCUCUGAUGUUUGCUAUUAUGAAUAUUGAUUUCUGAAUAUUCUGGAAUUCCCUAUGAAUUCUCUUCUUGUUAGACCAGAUCAAGAAGAAAAAUACAGAAAGCAAAAGAAAUAAAAUACAGAAUAUCGGCCGCUGUACACCAAAAAACCAGUGUUAUUUGUCUCCUGGCCUUCUCACUCUGUGGAUAAAUUAGCUUGCUUAAUUAGUUGAAGAUCCUUACUACAACCAAUAAUUAGUUAUCACUAGCAGCCAGCAGUCAUGCGACAAUAAGAGGCUGAUAGAAAGCUGCACAAAUGCACCAUUCUGAAGUGCGCUUCUGUGUAUCAUCUACUCAUGCUGAAGAGUCCAUUUCAAAAUUCAGGAUGGUUGAGAAGUCUGCUAAUUCUUCUGAGUCAAGAAUUCUGAAGAUCCGAAUCAAAGUUGGCACUGAAAAUUUGUCUACAUGAAACAAAUCCGUUGCCAAAAUGAUUAGUUUAUUUCUACAAGUCUAGAUGCUCAAGAUUCGGAUAUGUAAAAUGAUCAGUUUUUGAUUGAUUCUUCUAUUAUGCCUAGAAGUGGGAAGAUCUCUCAUGCUAACAGUCUUGUGUUGAGCAAAGAUCCACGCAAACUUGAAAAGGGCCAAAGAGAGUCUAGAGACAGACACAAGGACUUCAUUGGAGGCUUGGAAUGCAAGAAGAAGACAAAUUCGUCAAUUUCAGGUGAAAGGCCUUCCUCCGGAAGGCUGAAGGGUUCUCAGCUAGUUGAAAAAAGAGGCGUUGUUGAAUACCAGCUAUCAUCCAAAGAAAAUAUAAUAGUGAAAAGCUGAAAAUCCAUCAUUCACAGAGAAAUAUCUUAAGGUGGCUUCUAAUCUGCCGCCUCCUGGAAAUGGCCAAGUUCUGGUGCUAUUCCAAUGGGCGUGGUCCUUCUAGUCAAUGAAGAUUGGGGCUCAUGUGAUAAGCAUCAAAAUGGAGACUUCUUCCUCUUCGUACAAAGCCUAAGAGUCUUCAUUGAUAAAAGGCUUCAUAGGAUGCUUAACUGUCUGCAAGUUUUAUCAACAUUAUAUAUGUAGCAUUCUAUCACGUCCUUACCCCCUGUUUGAGCCCCCAUUUGAGGGGGAAAAUGUCUUUUGGAAUAAUGAUUUUUUGGAGAACGUUUGGCUAAAAUAUAAGGAAAAAUUUUGGGUUUAUGUGGAGGACAAUGUGUGGUUGAAAAUGAAUUGGAAAAAUGGAGGCCAAACAUAGGCUUAGACUGACCACAAGAAAUAAGUUCUAUCAACGAUUUUUAUUGUUUUUGACUGAUUAGAAAGAAAGAUAAUGUACAACCAAUUUACGAGCAUAAAUUUUAAACAAAUAAGUUGAUAAAAAUUAUGAUCCUUGUGAGUUCGAUGGAGAAGUGCUGUUGAAUUCCCGUGUUAAACUUUAUACUACUGAAAGGGAUCUCUCUCUCUCAUGCAUAUAGUACUUGAGUCCUGGCAACUUCGAUAUUUUAACAUCUCUCUAGGGUGGAACUCACAAUGUGGGUCAAGUAUCUGCUGGUGAAGGCAAGGCACUUAGUGUGGUACAACAUGAUAUUUCAACUCACCAUGUUACAGAUGUCUACAAUGAUCACUUAUGUCGAGGCAAUUGUGUGCUUGUGGCAUGCUUCUUCAGAGCAAUUCCCAGAUGAAAGAACAAAUGCUGAUCAAUCUUGAAACAGUGGGUCUCACCGAAAAAACUGGGAAGGAGAUUUCUUUGUGUUCUAAAGGCCAGACUUGUAGUUCUAGAUCAGACUUUCAUAAAGAUAAAAAAAACAAGAUUUCUGAUUCUUCUCAUAAAUCCUGAGAACAUGUGCAUUCACAUGAGAAAAAAUCGAAGAGUGAAGGGAAUAAGUUUGAGAAAUUUUCCACACCUGACAAAGCCUCAAAGAAUAUUAUUCCAUAAUAUUAGAAAAAGCAAGGAUAAAAAGCAUAAUAUUCAAAGGGAGCAGGAUAAAAGAAAAUCAACCAUGCAGCUUCUCUCUGGCAAAAGCAACCCGGCCAAAUCUGUGGAAGUGCCAAGUCACACUUACUACCACCCUUAGCAAGAGGUCAGACUGAAAAAGUAUCACUUGCCAAGCCUAUUUCUGGAUCUCGGAAAGAACAUGGAGUAAAAAGUGUUUGUAGUCAAUGUGUUUGGAGAUGCAUUAGAGGCACCGAACCGUAUUAAGAAAGCUCAGAGCCAGAGUGGAAAUCUACCUAUUAAUUCAAGAUAUCCUCCGAUUGCACAUAAGGAAUGGGAUAUUGAAGCCCCAAGUUCGGCUCGAAGGGAUCCUCCAGUGACACUGCUAUCAGUGCUAUAAAACAAGUGAAUGACCUUAAACACCUGGCUGAUCGUCUUAAGAACUUUGGAUCAACUGAAGUGCAGGGUUUUACUUCCAGGCUGCUCUCACUAGGUGCGGCACUGAAGUUUGUCAGGGGAAAAAACAAUUCUCAACCUGAUGAUCAAGUAUAUUAUUAAGUGUAUUGGACUGUCUGCUCUCCAUGUUAGGAUAUGAGAUAAUGUCAGACCAUUAUUAGAUUUAUUCUUCAUGCUUCUGUCUUGGGGUAUUUAUUAGGG